rnacentral:rRNA from 1 species
AGUGAACGCUGGCGGUAGGCCUAACACAUGCAAGUCGAACGGCAGCACAGUAAGAGCUUGCUCUUACGGGUGGCGAGUGGCGGACGGGUGAGGAAUACAUCGGAAUCUACUUUUUCGUGGGGGAUAACGUAGGGAAACUUACGCUAAUACCGCAUACGACCUACGGGUGAAAGCAGGGGAUCUUCGGACCUUGCGCGAUUGAAUGAGCCGAUGUCGGAUUAGCUAGUUGGCGGGGUAAAGGCCCACCAAGGCGACGAUCCGCAGCUGGUCUGAGAGGAUGAUCCGCCACACUGGAACUGAGACACGGUCCAGACUCCUACGGGAGGCAGCAGUGGGGAAUAUUGGACAAAGGGCGCAAGCCUGAUCCAGCCAUACCGCGUGGGUGAAGAAGGCCUUCGGGUUGUAAAGCCCUUUUGUUGGGAAAGAAAAGCAGCAGGUUAAUACCCCGCUGUUCUGACGGUACCCAAAGAAUAAGCACCGGCUAACUUCGUG